AUUAUGGACAGUUCUAACUUGGAAGUGCAGAAUUUGGAAGUUGGAAGCAUAGGCAGUAUUUGGAAGUGCAGGAUUUGGAAGGGCAGAAUUUGGAAGCCUUCCACAUUCUCACCUGUUACCUGAGGAGGUCAACUUUUUCACUUCCUGUGUCAACAGGAAGUAGCAGCAACAAGGAUAUAGCAGAACCAAGUGGGGAAGAGCAAGUCUGGCAGCUUCCAAGCAUGGUCCAAGCGGUGGCAGUAACAAAUGCAGGCAGUGCGUCUGCUUUUGACGUGACGUGAAGAUGUUCAAACAUACCUCUCAAUACAGCCGCUCAUCCAGACUCACAAGUCUUGUGAGCUUUAAAACCGGCAGCCCAUCAUGCACAGACCAAGACAUCUCUGGAACCAGCAGCACAUAUCUCUCAGACCAACAAAGCUAGGGCGAUCAGUGGCCCCCGCCACCGUCCCCGUGCCUACUGACCUCUGGGGUCCCACACUCUCCUCCUGGAUUUCUCAACCCACCUCCCACCCCGCCAGUUAGGCAUAGCUCGAUUCGACCUCCUCCUGGCUUCCUCUA